UACGUAGGGCGCAAGCGUUGUCCGGAAUUACUGGGCGUAAAGAGCUCGUAGGUGGUUUGUCGCGUUGUUCGUGAAAACCGGGGGCUUAACCCUCGGCGUGCGGGCGAUACGGGCAGACUUGAGUACUGCAGGGGAGACUGGAAUUCCUGGUGUAGCGGUGGAAUGCGCAGAUAUCAGGAGGAACACCGGUGGCGAAGGCGGGUCUCUGGGCAGUAACUGACGCUGAGGAGCGAAAGCGUGGGGAGCGAACAGG
rnacentral:rRNA from 1 species